rnacentral:lncRNA from 1 species
CAGAGCGCAGUGCCGGCGGCGCGUCUUGGCGGUGCCGCGGCUUGGGCACGGGGCAGCGCGCCCGCUGCCCUGCCCUGGCCUAGCCCUGGCCCCGGCCCCGGCCCGGCCCUGCCCUGGCCCGGGGGAAAAGCCCGCGGGUUGCAGCCCCCUGCUCGGGCGAAAGGAGAGCUCGGCACGCUGUGCGGAUCGCCCCCGUGAUCUUUGUGGACGGAUGGCCAGCUGGCAAUGCCGGUUACGGGCCACAGGUUAAGAGCCAUUCCAUAAAAGUAACGCAAAACAGAGGAAAAGAGAUUAAGGAGGCAAAAAGAGUUGCCUUCUUUCUUCUGACUAAGCAUCAAAAACUACUACAGUAGUUUUCCUGUGAAGACUUCACUAUAUAUGACAACAUAAUUCAUCAAAGAUUCCAGUGACUGGAAUGAAAAUAUGGACCAUCAGUGGACAGCAAAGGCGUGAAGUUCUCUGAUGCAUAGCAGGUUUCUUACACAGCUGUCUCAUAAGGAACAGCUGUUUCCCCUGGCCUGCAUCCAAUGGAGAUGGAAAGAGACUGGUGAGAGUGGGGACAAGAAGAUGAAGAAAGAGCACUACUACAGCAAGUCUGAGAACAAAGCAUCAAUAGUACAAGUGCAGGCUGGGAUCAAAACUUCCUACCACUCUAUCUGGGAUACUUAGCUGAUUUCUCCUAAAGUGAUUUAGUUUUACUUUUAAGGAUAUUGAGAAGAGAUUCUGUUUCUCCUAAGCACCCAAGCUGAGAAGGACAAGAACAUCCACAGAAGCCUUAGUCUCCAGGAAGCACACUGGUUAAUCAGUUAAGUACUUAAGGAGCAGAAUGAGAUAUGAGAUUUGAAGACACACAGAUCUAGCUGUGUUCCUAACCCUCAGUAGGCUGGGGCAGUGAGUGGUGUAGCUGCUCUCUCUACCAGAGCCAGACAACUGCUGUAAAUUUUGCUGUGGGGCAUGGAUGGAGAGAACAUAGCUGUUCCUGAAGCAAGGGAUUAGCAUCUGUUCUCCCUCAUGCUUUCUCACAUAGUACUGAACACAGCUUUAUGUUUGCUUGUUAGUGAUUUCAGAUAGUGUGUUUCUGAUCUUACUUGAAGGAUAUGGAAGAUAACACUCACAUCUUUUUCAAAGGCCAGAAAAUGCAUCCAAACCCAGUAUGUGAAUAAUCCAAAAUACAUUGUGUAUGCAUGCUAGAAGACACAGAAUUCCUCACAUGCCUCAUAGAAAUGGAACAGGUUAGUCAGUACAUAACUUCAUAGAGCUUUGUGCUGCAAAGCAAAUUGAGUAGGAGAAAUUCUCAACAAAAUUAGCAGUCCCCCAAAGAUUUUCUGUAUUUCACUCUCCCAUGUUUCCCAUGACAGAUUGGUGGAAAACACACAUAUAUGUCUAAGAGACUACAAUGGGUUAUGGGAGCAAUGGGUUCUAAUUCCACAAGCWGGCUGACAGAGGAAUGAAAAUUCAGGAGUCACUAUAUGAUGCUUUGAGUAUGAUGUAAUCUAUGUAUAACUUGAAUUUCAACUUUAUUUUAUAAAUAUUUUGUAUAUAAAACUUCAAACUACUAACAAUUUUGAAUGCAGUGCUUGUCUGCCUUCUCUCUUUAUCUGCAAGUUAAAGGCCUG